GAUGAACGCUAGCUACAGGCUUAACACAUGCAAGUCGAGGGGAAACGAUAGAGAAAGCUUGCUUUUUCUAGGCGUCGACCGGCGCACGGGUGAGUAACGCGUAUCCAACCUGCCCAUCACUUGGGGAUAACCUUGCGAAAGUAAGACUAAUACCCAAUGACGUCUCUAGAAGACAUCUGAAGGAGAUUAAAGAUUUAUCGGUGAUGGAUGGGGAUGCGUCUGAUUAGCUUGUUGGCGGGGUAACGGCCCACCAAGGCGACGAUCAGUAGGGGUUCUGAGAGGAAGGCCCCCCACAUUGGAACUGAGACACGGUCCAAACCCCUACGGGAGGCAGCAGUGAGGAAUAUUGGUCAAUGGACGAGAGUCUGAACCAGCCAAGUAGCGUGCAGGAUGACGGCCCUAUGGGUUGUAAACUGCUUUUAUAAGGGAAUAAAGUGAGUCUCGUGAGACUUUUUGCAUGUACCUUAUGAAUAAGGAACCGGCGUAAUUCCGUGCCAGCAGCCG
rnacentral:rRNA from 1 species